rnacentral:rRNA from 1 species
UACGUAGGCAGCGAGCGUUGUUCGGAGUUACUGGGCGUAAAGAGUGCGUAGGCGGUUUCUAAGUUUGGUGUGAAAUCUCCCGCUUAACUGGGAGGGUGCGCCGAAAACUGGAAGGCUUGAGUAUGGGAGAGGUAAGCGGGAAUUCCUGGUGUAGCGGUGAAAUGCGUAGAUAUCAGGAGGAACACCAGUGGCGAAGGCGGCUAUCGUGGGCUGAAACUGACGCUGAGGCGCGAAGGCUAGGGGAGCAAACAGG